AAACAUGUAAACAACAGAUCUGGCCCCUCUCUUUCACUCUCUCACUCUCUCACACGCUGCAUCUCUCCCACACUGUCGGCUUCUUCUUACCGGCAGCUCCCUCACCGUCGGCUUCUUCGCUCCUUCUCAUCGCCGACUCAUCUCCCUCUCACGAUCUGAAAAAUGGUGGAGAUGAAGAUGAAGAUCUGUUGAUGUUGUUGUUGAGAUCUGUUGAUGUUAUUGUUGUUGUUCAGAUCUGAAGAUGAAGAUGGUUUCUGGA